rnacentral:rRNA from 1 species
AGGGAAUCUUCGGCAAUGGGGGCAACCCUGACCGAGCAACGCCGCGUGAGUGAAGAAGGUUUUCGGAUCGUAAAGCUCUGUUGUAAGUCAAGAACGAGUGUGAGAGUGGAAAGUUCACACUGUGACGGUAGCUUACCAGAAAGGGACGGCUAACUACGUGCCAGCAGCCGCGGUAAUACGUAGGUCCCGAGCGUUGUCCGGAUUUAUUGGGCGUAAAGCGAGCGCAGGCGGUUUGAUAAGUCUGAAGUUAAAGGCUGUGGCUCAACCAUAGUUCGCUUUGGAAACUGUCAAACUUGAGUGCAGAAGGGGAGAGUGGAAUUCCAUGUGUAGCGGUGAAAUGCGUAGAUAUAUGGAGGAACACCGGUGGCGAAAGCGGCUCUCUGGUCUGUAACUGACGCUGAGGCUCGAAAGCGUGGGGAGCGAACAGGAUUAGAUACCCUGGUAGUCCACGCCGUAAACGAUGAGUGCUAGGUGUUGGAUCCUUUCCGGGAUUCAGUGCCGCAGCUAACGCAUUAAGCACUCCGCCUGGGGAGUACGACCGCAAGGUUGAAACUCAAAGGAAUUGACGGGGGCCCGCACAAGCGGUGGAGCAUGUGGUUUAAUUCGAAGCAACGCGAAGAACCUUACCAGGUCUUGACAUCCCGAUGCUAUUUCUAGAGAUAGAAAGUUACUUCGGUACAUCGGUGACAGGUGGUGCAUGGUUGUCGUCAGCUCGUGUCGUGAGAUGUUGGGUUAAGUCCCGCAACGAGCGCAACCCCUAUUGUUAGUUGCCAUCAUUCAGUUGGGCACUCUAGCGAGACUGCCGGUAAUAAACCGGAGGAAGGUGGGGAUGACGUCAAAUCAUCAUGCCCCUUAUGACCUGGGCUACACACGUGCUACAAUGGUUGGUACAACGAGUUGCGAGUCGGUGACGGCAAGCUAAUCUCUUAAAGCCAAUCUCAGUUCGGAUUGUAGGUUGCAACUCGCCUACAUGAAGUCGGAAUCGCUAGUAAUCGCGGAUCAGCACGCCGCGGUGAAUACGUUCCCG